rnacentral:rRNA from 1 species
GACGAACGCUGGCGGCGUGCUUAACACAUGCAAGUCGAACGGAAAGGCCCUGCUUUUGUGGGGUGCUCGAGUGGCGAACGGGUGAGUAACACGUGAGUAACCUGCCCUUGACUUUGGGAUAACUUCAGGAAACUGGGGCUAAUACCGGAUAGGAGCUCCUGCUGCAUGGUGGGGGUUGGAAAGUUUCGGCGGUUGGGGAUGGACUCGCGGCUUAUCAGCUUGUUGGUGGGGUAGUGGCUUACCAAGGCAUUGACGGGUAGUCGGCCUGAGAGGGUGACCGACCACAUUGGGACUGAGAUACGGCCCAGACUGCUACGGGAGGCAGCAGUGGGGAAUAUUGCACAAUGGGCGGAAGCCUGAUGCAGCAACGCCGCGUGCGGGAUGACGGCCUUCGGGUUGUAAACCGCUUUCGCCUGUGACGAAGCGUGGGUGACGGUAAUGGGUAAAGAAGCACCGGCUAACUACGUG